rnacentral:tRNA from 1 species
GGUCCAGUGGCUUAGAAAAAAUUGCGUUUAGCAAUAUUGAGGAACUUGGUUAAAGCGCUCGGCUGAUAACCGAGAGAUCGUGGGUCCGAAUCCCACCUGGACCACCA